rnacentral:rRNA from 1 species
AUUGAACGCUGGCGGAAUGCUUUACACAUGCAAGUCGAACGGUAGAGGGGCAACCCUUGAGAGUGGCGAACGGGUGAGUAAUGUAUCGGAACGUGCCCAGUCGUGGGGGAUAACGUAGCGAAAGUUACGCUAAUACCGCAUACGAUCUAUGGAUGAAAGCGGGGGAUCGCAAGACCUCGCGCGAUUGGAGUGGCCGAUAUCAGAUUAGGUAGUUGGUGGGGUAAAGGCCUACCAAGCCGACGAUCUGUAGCUGGUCUGAGAGGACGACCAGCCACACUGGGACUGAGACACGGCCCAGACUCCUACGGGAGGCAGCAGUGGGGAAUUUUGGACAAUGGGCGAAAGCCUGAUCCAGCCAUUCCGCGUGCAGGAAGAAGGCCUUCGGGUUGUAAACUGCUUUUGUACGGAACGAAACGCGCUGUGCUAAUACCACGGCGUAAUGACGGUACCGUAAGAAUAAGCACCGGCUAACUACGUGCCAGCCGCCGCGGUAA